CUUCCAGCCGGCGAGGUACUUGUACCUCGUCGACUGGAAGGGCUUCCUUCCAGCCGGCGAGGUACAAGUACCUCGUCGACCUGUCCAGCCGGCGAGGUACUUGUACCUCGUCGACUGGAAGGGUGUCCUUCCAGCCGGCGAGGUACAAGUACCUCGUCGACCGGAAG
rnacentral:miRNA from 1 species